UCUCUCUCUCUCUCUCUGUCUCUCUCUCUGUCUCUGUCUCUCUUUCUGUCUGCCUCUCUCUGCCUCUCUCUCUGUCUGCCUCUCUCUCUCUCUCUCCCUCUCUCUCUCUCUCUCUCUCAUACUGUUUGAGAGCCCAAAAUAUUGUUUGUGAAACAAUUAGGCUGGGACUAAGCAAUUCUUUAUGGCUAGGGGCUGUUGCCCAGUAAACCCGACUCAGCUUCUCAUGACCUGAAGUUACCUAAAAUCUCCAGACAUUAUUGAACACUGCACAAAGCGCCA
rnacentral:lncRNA from 1 species